rnacentral:rRNA from 1 species
CCUACGGGAGGCAGCAGUGAGGAAUAUUGGUCAAUGGACGAAAGUCUGAACCAGCCAAGUAGCGUGAGGGAUGACUGCCCUAUGGGUUGUAAACUUCUUUUAUAAAGGAAUAAAACGAGGCACGUGUGCCUUUUUGCAUGUACUUUAUGAAUAAGGAUCGGCUAACUCCGUGCCAGCAGCCGCGGUAAUACGGAGGAUCCGAGCGUUAUCCGGAUUUAUUGGGUUUAAAGGGAGCGUAGACGGGCUGUUAAGUCAGUUGUGAAAGUUUGCGGCUCAACCGUAGAAUUGCCGUUGAAACUGGAAGUCUUGAGUACAGUUGAGGUAGGCGGAAUGCGUGGUGUAGCGGUGAAAUGCUUAGAUAGCACGCAGAACCCCGAUUGCGAAGGCAGCUUACUAAGCUGUGACUGACACUGAUGCUCGAAAGUGUGGGGAUCAAACAGGAUUAGAUACCCCGGUAGUC